rnacentral:rRNA from 1 species
CAAUAGCGUAUAUUUAAGUUGUUGCAGUUAAAAAGCUCGUAGUUGGAUUUCGGAUGGGAUCUGCCGGUCCGCCUUUGAGGUGUGUACUGGUAGGUCCUAUCUUGUUGUCGGGGACCAGCUCCUGGGCUUCACUGUCCGGGACUAGGAGCUGACGAGGUUACUUUGAGUAAAUUAGAGUGUUCAAAGCAAGCCUACGCUCUGAAUACAUUAGCAUGGAAUAACACGAUAGGACUCUGGCUUAUCUUGUUGGUCUGUGAGACCAGAGUAAUGAUUAAGAGGGACAGUCGGGGGCAUUCGUAUUUCAUUGUCAGAGGUGAAAUUCUUGGAUUUAUGAAAGACGAACUUCUGCGAAAGCAUUUGUCAAGGAUGUUUUCAUUAA